GGGAUCUUAGCUCAGUUGGUUAGAGCAGCGGACUCAUAAUCCGUUGGUCACUGGUUCGAGUCCAGUAGGUCCCACCA
rnacentral:tRNA from 3 species